GAGAGUAUUUGACGGUGACGUCGACGGCCCCCCUGAGGUCUCCACUUCCCCCCUCGUUUUCGUCCUCGUCUUCCGAUGGCUUCUCCUCCCCCUCCUCCACCGACUUCCCACCCCUCGCUGCUGCCCGAGAUCGGCCCCGAUGGCAUCGCCAGAGAGUCCCCCAUCAUCGCUUACACCGAGAAGAUCAUCGAGGCAGAGCAGCUCCAGCUCAAGAGAUAUAUUCAAGAAAAUUAUUCUAAGAUUCGCGAAGUGGAACGUGAGCUAGAGUCUCUUACAUUGGAGUUGAAGCUUACAGCUGGGCCAAAAAAAGCAGCGCUUGAACACCUGCGAAAGAAGAUUGAAUUGUCAACUGAGAGGAUACAUAUGGCUAAGCUCAAGGAAGAACAAACUAAAAAGGCAUGGGAAGCUGCAGUUCAAGCUGUCAAAGAUGAGGAGGAUAUCAAGCAGAAGCUUUGUGAUGAUCUGAAUCAGCUGGUUCAAGAAAGCACAAGUACCCAAUAUUUAAGGUUGGAGGAGCUAAAAAGACGACUAGAAGCUCUCAACCCUAGCAGGAUUUCCUCUGAUGUUUCAGAUGGGAAGUUGAUGCAGCAGAUACCAAGCAAUGUUAUAGCUGCCACAAUCACACAGAAUCAACCAGUAGAGCGAAGAAUUCCUGAUGCAACUGCUCCUGCAACCAAUAAAACCGAGCCAGCUUCAGAUGCACGGAACCAAUGGCCCGUGGAAGUGAAAGAAAAGAAGAGAACCAUGAAUUCUGGAAGAGCGAAGGGCAGCAUGCUCAUUCCAAAGGGAAGGGGACCUUCAGGGUCUGGCUGGACCGGAGCUGGAUUUGAUGUUGAUAGUGGGACAUGAUGGAGGAUUGGUUUCAGGCUCUCUCCAUGGCCACUUGAGAUUGUGGCUGCAUGGUAGGACUUGGAAAUUUAAUUGAGGCUCCUUACGGGGAACAAGGCACGGAAAGAUUUGACUCUCCAUUAAAGAAGAAGAUUGCUGAGUUUAGAGGGGAUGGAUGAUACGGAGGAGGAUCGAUGGAUGCUUACCAUUGGAGCAAUCGCUUAAGUUGGAGAUGCCGCAGGACCGGGCGAGGCGAAACCCCUCAUCGGUGGAGAUGUUGAAAGCCUUCAUGACGGUGGCGUCGUUGAGCACGGCGCAGAGGCACUGCAGGUCGUUAUCCACCGCCUGCUUCAGCGGCGUGCAGCACUCCGCC